rnacentral:rRNA from 1 species
UACGUAGGAGGCAAGCGUUGUCCGGAAUUACUGGGCGUAAAGCGCGUGUAGGUGGUGGGACAAGUCUGCUGUGAAAGCGCCUGGCUUAACCGGGCGAGGUCGGCGGAAACUGUCCGACUAGAGGACGGUAGAGGGGGGUGGAAUUCCCGGUGUAGUGGUGAAAUGCGCAGAUAUCAGGAGGAACACCAGCGGCGAAGGCGGCGCUCUGGGCCGGUACUGACGCUGAGGAGCGAAAGCGUGGGUAGCAAACAGG